rnacentral:rRNA from 1 species
GCGCAGCAGGCGCGAAUCCUCCGCAAUGCGGGAAACCGUGACGGGGUCACCCGAGUGCCACCCGAAGAGGGUGGCUUUUCCCCGGUCUAAAAAGCCGGGGGCAAUAAGCGGGGGCGAAGUCUGGUGUCAGCCGCCGCGGUAAUACCAGCCCGCGAGUGGUCGGGACGUUUAUUGGGCCUAAAGCGUCCGUAGCCGGCCCGGUAAGUCCUCCUUAAAUCCACGGGCUCAACCCGUGGGCUGGGAGGGAUACUGCCGGGCUAGGGGGCGGGAGAGGCCGAGGGUACUCCCGGGGUAGGGGCGAAAUCCGUUAAUCCCGGGAGGACCACCAGUGGCGAAGGCGCUCGGCUGGAACGCGCCCGACGGUGAGGGACGAAAGCUGGGGGAGCAAAGGGGAUUAGAUACCCCCGUAG